AUAAUGGGUCAGCGACUUAUAUUCUGUAGCAAGGUUAACCGAAUAGGGGAGCCGAAGGGAAACCGAGUCUUAACUGGGCGUUAAGUUGCAGGGUAUAGACCCGAAACCCGGUGAUCUAGCCAUGGGCAGGUUGAAGGUUGGGUAACACUAACUGGAGGACCGAACCGACUAAUGUUGAAAAAUUAGCGGAUGACUUGUGGCUGGGGGUGAAAGGCCAAUCAAACCGGGAGAUAGCUGGUUCUCCCCGAAAGCUAUUUAGGUAGCGCCUCGUGAAUUCAUCUCCGGGGGUAGAGCACUGUUUCGGCAAGGGGGUCAUCCCGACUUACCAACCCGAUGCAAACUGCGAAUACCGGAGAAUGUUAUCACGGGAGACACACGGCGGGUGCUAACGUCCGUCGUGAAGAGGGAAACAACCCAGACCGCCAGCUAAGGUCCCAAAGUCAUGGUUAAGUGGGAAACGAUGUGGGAAGGCCCAGACAGCCAGGAUGUUGGCUUAGAAGCAGCCAUCAUUUAAAGAAAGCGUAAUAGCUCACUGGUCGAGUCGGCCUGCGCGGAAGAUGUAACGGGGCUAAACCAUGCACCGAAGCUGCGGCAGCGACGCUGAUGCGUUGUUGGGUAGGGGAGCGUUCUGUAAGCCUGCGAAGGUGUGCUGUGAGGCAUGCUGGAGGUAUCAGAAGUGCGAAUGCUGACAUAAGUAACGAUAAAGCGGGUGAAAAGCCCGCUCGCCGGAAGACCAAGGGUUCCUGUCCAACGUUAAUCGGGGCAGGGUGAGUCGACCCCUAAGGCGAGGCCGAAAGGCGUAGUCGAUGGGAAACAGGUUAAUAUUCCUGUACUUGGUGUUACUGCGAAGGGGGGACGGAG
rnacentral:rRNA from 1 species